AGCCUCGUAGCUCAACUGGUAGAGCGUAUAAUUUAUAAAAGAGCAGGCGGCGUCCAUUUGUGGGUUCGAAUCCCACUGAGGCUA
rnacentral:tRNA from 1 species